CCUACGGGUGGCAGCAGUGAGGAAUAUUGGUCAAUGGGCGAGAGUCUGAACCAGCCAAGUCGCGUGAAGGAUGACGGCCCUACGGGUUGUAAACUUCUUUUGUCAGGGAGCAAUCGGGUCUACGCGUGGGCUUCUCGAGAGUACCUGCAGAAAAAGCACCGGCUAACUCCGUGCCAGCAGCCGCGGUAAUACGGAGGAUGCGAGCGUUAUCCGGUUUUAUUGGGUUAAAGGGGUGCGUAGGCGGAAUAUCAAGUCAGCGGUAAAAAUUCGGGGCUCAACCCCGUCGUGCCGUUGAAACUGAUGGUCUAGAGUGGGCGAGAAGUAGGCGGAAUGCGUGGUGUAGCGGUGAAAUGCAUAGAUAUCACACAGAACUCCGAUUGCGAAGGCAGCAUACCGGGGCACAACUGACGCUGAGGCACGAAAGCGUGGGUAUCGAACAGGAUUAGAUACCCGAGUAGUC
rnacentral:rRNA from 1 species